rnacentral:ncRNA from 12 species
AUUAGUCGAGGGUAGAAAGGUUCCUACCGCACCUUGUAAAAGGUAUCUGAGAUGCUCCAUACACCGCGGAGCCGAUUAAU